AUGCAGGUCGACUUUAGACGUUGAGCUUGAGCAUUUGGAGUGAGUAGAGGUUUGAACAUGACCUACUGGUCGAGUUUGAUGGUCGAGCUUGAGUUGAACAUGCCUCUUUUGACCUAAUCACA
rnacentral:sRNA from 1 species